UCUUAUGACACCCUUUUCUUACAACAAUCGCCCAAUCUACUGAGCCCUGGCUUCCAAAGUUUGUUCGGCUAUCCGAUUCAAUUUUUUAAAUUGAUGCAAAUCUCUUUCUAGUUGUGCUAUUGUUGUGUAAUAGUGCUCACUUUUAGCUUUAAAGUCAUUUGCCUGCUUAACCAUUUUGUUUCAACAGUGAUGACCCUCUUCUUCAAUCCUGCAACCUCGCUGUCGUACUUUUCUUUCAACUGUUCAAUCAUGCGUUCUCGUUCUUCCACAUUUUUGUCUAAUUGCUUUCUGGCCCGGGCUAGAUCACCCUCUGCUUUGUUCAGGUCAAAACCAUACUCCCCUACUUUCCACCUCAGAUUGUCUAUGAGGUUCUCAUCUUUGACACUUCUGGUGGGAUUUUCUGCCGCUAUUCUCAUUUUCUGAAUCUGGGCUCGCAGGGCUUCAUUUUCUUUGGCUAGUCUUCUCUUUUCACCCUCGUCCGUCACGGCUUGCAAAUUAUUGUCGAAUUGAAGGUCUUUGACUUGUCUUUCA
rnacentral:lncRNA from 1 species